rnacentral:lncRNA from 1 species
GCGGGGGGCGGGCGGGCCGGCUUCCCUCCCAGGGCCCGGGUGGGCGGCGGGGCCCGCCGGUGCGGGGUCGGCCGAAGUACGGGGCGCUCUGCCCUGGUCCGCCGGCCGCGACCCCCUCAGACCCCGCCCGCGGCCUCGGACCUGCCGGGCUCGGCUCUUGGAGCCCCUGGGAGCUUGGCUGUCCUCACCCACCGCCCUGGGCAGAGGCUGUCCCUCAGCGAAUUCAUCUUUGUUGUGGUGGAAGUGGCGGACAUAACUAGCCUUUCCUUUCCUCACUGUCUGGGGACUGUGAACCUGAUUGAGGUGUUACCUUCACCUGUGCAUCCACCAUCUUCUUUCAGCUCCUCAGGGCAGCUGCAGGGCCUGCCCCUCACCUGCCCCUCACCUGCCCCCUUGCCAUCUCGGCCUCCCUGAGGUGGUUGGUUCGUAGUCUUUUGGUGCUUGUACUCCUUCUGCUCUCUGCAGCUUUCACAGUUUGCUGCUGUUCCCAAAUGGGUGCAUUUUAGGUCAGUUUUGGGACACGUUCCCAAAAUGGUGUCAGCAGGAUUAUGGCCGUGGCUGAGGAGACUGGCUGUUCUCUGUUGGCUGCCGCCUGAGCUGACUGAUGGCAGCAGCAGGAUGAGCCAUCCCUCAGCAGAUUUGCUUUCUGAAGUGAAAGCCUGUCUGGUUUAAAACCUCUGAUUCAUCAAGGGAAAAAACAAACAGGUCAGGCUCAAGGGCUCAGAAACACUCAAAUGCAGUAGAAGUUGCAUGAGCCUCAUUGCAGGAAUCAGUGAAAAGUGCUACUGGAUUCUUUAAAACUGUCUUGUAGGUGAUGGCUGCUGCCAUUGAGUCUGCAAGCUUUGAGGAGGAACAGCUUCCUAAUAAGAGAGAAAGUAUGAUCUGGAAGCCCAGAAAAGAAUGUUUGCUGAAGAACAUUCCAAAUGUCCUUGAUAGUGAGCCUGAAGAAAGUGAAUUCUCUGAUAUCUCUCAAAAUGAGAAUGAUGUUAGUGGCUCUCCUGUUGACUGUGUCCGUAUACAUUCUGACCUGGAAGACUUAGAUGAUGAUGUCUCCGGUAUGCCUGAGGCUGUAACUUUUCUAGAGCUGCAGACUGCUUCUGUGUACAAAAUAGAGGAGGACUGGGAUAAAGAACUGGAGGAAUCUGAAUGUAAUCCUUAUGAUGCUGGUGAUCUCUACUGUGGAAGCUUUCAGGAAAAUAAUCUUUUGACCUCAUACUCAUGGCGAGAGGAUUUGUUUUACAACCCCAGCUGUCACCAUGCAGCUUGCGUUGCUUUUACACCACCAGUUAGAAUGACUGAGCCUGGCCAGUUUGAUGAUGCUGAUGAAUGAGGUUGACCCUGGUCAGAACUAAGUUUGGCUUCUGAGUUGGAUUAUGUUCUUCACUGGUUGAAUCGUUUCAAGUCCUUUGGCUUGCUUGCAGACUUCUGCAUAAGGCCAGAAACGCUACACCAUCUCCCAAGUUUUGCUUAGACCACUACUGAGCUGCUUAUAAAUUGACCAUGUUUGACCUCUGGAAAUGAGAGUGCAGGUGCUAGCUGUAAGGAGUCAAUACAUUUCUGGACUUUUUGUUUCUAUUAUAUAGAUUUAUAUUGUUGCUAACGAAUUGCUUGAGAGGAAGUAUUUAACUUCUAAACUUCAGCUUGUUUGCCAAGCUUUGCCGGUUUUGACAUGCUGAUCCUUGUGUGUCUAUGUCAUUUUUAGUUUUCUUUCCUUUUCAUUUGAUGCUGUCAAAUUGGUUCACAAAGCUUUAAAAACUCUUCUUCCUUCCAGCUUCUCUGUUGUAUUUCUAUGUUGCAGUUUGUGAUUCCAGAUCUAAUACUGGUGUUUAACAAAAUUAGCCAUGACAAAUACGGAAUGAGUGGUUGUGUUUUCAUUUUAUGUUUCAGUAUAAGGGGAUUACAAAUACGUGAUACACAUUUUGCAAAUACAGACGUGGACAUACGCUAGGGCCUGCUGCAUCCAAUGACAACGCUGAGUGCUUAAAACUCUCUCCUAGCAAAGGUUUCUUCAUAUCUGACUUUCUUGUAUUUGGGCAUAGAAUCAUAGAAUCAUUGAGGUUGGAAGAGACCCUUGGGAUCAUCGAGUCCAACCAUCUCCCCUACUCUACAAAGUCCUCCCCUACACCAUGUCCCUCAGCACUGCAUCUAAAUGGCCCUUAAACACAGCCAGGGAUGGGGACUCCACCCCCUCCCUGGGCAGCCUGUUCCAAUGCCCGACCACUCUUUCAGUGAAAAAUUCCUUCCUAAUGUUCAAUCUAAACCUCCCCUGUUGGAGCUUGAAGCCGGCAUAUUAUCCUUCAGUCUCACAGUUGGCUUUGUAAUGUUCUCAU